CAAUAGCGUAUAUUAAAGUUGUUGCAGUUAAAAGCUCGUAGUUGGAUCUCGGGUCCAGGCUGGAGGUCCACCUCGCGGUGGUUACUUCUCGUCCUGACCUACCAUCGGGUUUUCCCUUGGUGCUCUUGACUGAGUGUCUCGGGUGGCCAGAACGUUUACUUUGAAAAAUUAGAGUGUUCAAAGCAGGCGCGUCGCCUGAAUAAUGGUGCAUGGAAUAAUGGAACAGGACCUCGGUUCUAUUUUGUUGGUUUUCGGAAGUCGAGGUAAUGAUUAAGAGGGACAGACGGGGGCAUUCGUAUUACGGUGUUAGAGGUGAAAUUCUUGGAUCGCCGUAAGACGAACUACUGCGAAAGCAUUUGCCAAGAAUGUUUUCAUUAAUCAAGAACGAAAGUCAGAGGUUCGAAGACGAUCAGAUACCGU
rnacentral:rRNA from 1 species